AUGGUAGUGCUGCUGGAAGCUGGUCCGCACUGUCCCUAUGUGACUGCCCGUGGACACCGCCGAAGAAGCAUCGUUAAAGUCCCUCUUCUCCCUGUGAUCAUGUCUGAGCCUCCUAAAGAGCCGGAACAGCUGAGGAAGCUCUUCAUUGGAGGGUUGAGCUUUGAAACAACCGAUGAGAGCCUGAGGAGCCAUUUUGAGCAAUGGGGAACACUCACAGACUAUGUGGUAAUGAGAGAUCCAAACACCAAGCGCUCCAGGGGCUUUGGGUUUGUCACGUAUGCCACUGUGGAGGAGGUGGAUGCAGCCAUGAAUGCAAGGCCACACAAAGUGGAUGGAAGAUUUGUGGAACCAAAGACAGCUGUCUCAAGAGAAGAUUCUUAAAGACCAGGUGCCCACUUAACUGUGAAAAAAAUAUUCGUUAGUGGCAUUAAAGAAGACACUGAAGAACAUCACCUAAGAGAUUAUUUUAAACAGUAUGGGAAAAUUGAAGUGAUUGAAAUCAUGACUGACAGAGGCAGUGGCAAAAAAAAGGGGAUUUGCCUUCGUAACCUUGAUGACCAUGACUCCAUGGAUAAGAUGGUCAUUCAGAAAUACCAUACUGUGAAUAGCCACAACUGCGAAGUUAGGAAAGCCCUGUCAGAGCAAGAGAUGGCUAGUGCUUUAUCCAGCCAAAGAGGUCGAAGUGGUUCUGGAAACUUUGGUGGUGGUUGUGGAGGUGGUUUCGGUGGGAAUGACAACUUUGGUCGUGGAGGAAACUUCAGUGCUCAUGGUGGCUUUGGUGGCAGCCGUGGUGGUGGCAGAUAUGGUGGCAGUGGGGAUGGCUAUAAUGGAUUUGGUAAUGACGGAAGCAAUUUUGGAGGGGGUGGAAGCUACAAUGAUUUUGGCAAUUACAACAAUCAGUCUUUCCUGGAAAAUUGGGACCCUUUUCACAAGAUGGCGCCGAAAGCGAAGAAGGAAGCUCCUGCCCCUCCUAAAGCCGAAGCCAAAGCGAAGCCUUUAAAGGCCAAGAAGGCAGUGUUGAAAGGUGUCCACAGCCACAAAAAAAAAGAAGAUCCGCACGUCACCCACCUUCCGGCGGCCCGAGACACUGCGACUCCGGAGGCAGCCCAAAUAUCCUCGGAAGAGCGCCCCAGGAGAAACAAACUGGACCACUAUGCUAUCAUCAAGUUUCCGCUGACCACUGAGUCUGCCACGAAGAAGACAGAAGACAACAACACACUUGUGUUCAUUGUGGAUGUUAAAGCCAACAAGCACCAGAUCAAACAGGCUGUGAAGAAGCUCUAG